UGAUUUAUUUGGAGUGGAGACAUUG
rnacentral:piRNA from 1 species